AUGGCCUUCUCCCCGCGCUCGCCGUGGUCGCGCUCCAAAAAGCCCGACAUCUACUCCACCGUCGUGGUCCACGACGACGAGGACGACGCCCGCGGCGGCGACGCCCGCGCGGAGGAUGACGACGACGACGACCCCUCCGCGCUGCCCCCGCUCCUCCAGCGCCUCCCCAAGGACUUCGGCGGCGCGUCCUUCGACGACGACGACGACCCCUACUCCUCGGACCUCGACGACGCCUCGCUCUCCGCCACCGUCGUUAUCAAGCGCGGCGCCCCCGCCUCCACAUCGUCCUCCUCCCGAUCCCCGUUCCUGGAUCUGCGCCGCUCCAGCCCCCGCGCCGCCGAGGCCGACCCGUUCUCCACCUUCGUCGUCCACGGCACCGCGCGCUCCGGCGGCGCCUCCAGCCCGCGGGAGUCCGUCUCCGGCACGUUUAUACGCCACUCGGGUGGCCCCCCCAGCCCCCGCGAGUCCGUCUCCGGCACAUUCAUCCGCCACACCCGUGGCUCCUCCAGCCCCCACGAGUCGUUCUCCGGCACGUUCAUUCACCACACCAGCGGCGCCUCCAGUCCACGCGACUCCGCCUCCGGUGCUGGGUUUGGGUCCUCAUUCAUAACCCCUUCGGCCGGGCAGGCGGAGGAGGACCGGCAGCCAUCACUUCUGAUGCAGCAGCAGCAAUCAAGGCGGAAGGCAUCAAUGAGCUCUGUCCCAGAUAGUGUUACUAGGGAGGAUCCUUCAACCAAGUAUGAGCUGCUCCAUGAGCUCGGGAAAGGUUCAUAUGGUGCAGUGUACAAGGCGAGGGAUCUCAGAACGCAGGAGCUUGUAGCUGUCAAGAUCAUCUCCUUAACAGAAGGGGAAGAAGGAUAUGAAGAUAUACGGGGAGAAAUUGAGAUGCUACAGCAGUGCAGCCAUCCAAAUGUUGUGCGCUACUUUGGGAGUUAUCAAGGAGAAGAAUACCUUUGGAUAGUUAUGGAGUAUUGUGGUGGUGGAAGUGUUGCUGACUUGAUAGGCAUUACAGAGGAGCCUCUUGACGAACCGCAAAUAGCUUAUAUAUGUCGAGAAACAUUAAAGGGUCUUGCUUACUUGCACACAAUUUUCAAAGUUCAUAGAGAUAUUAAGGGUGGCAACAUUCUACUGACUGAUCAAGGCGAGGUGAAGUUGGGCGAUUUUGGUGUUGCUGCCCAACUAACAAGAACCAUGUCAAAGCGCAACACGUUCAUCGGUACUCCACACUGGAUGGCGCCAGAGGUCAUUCAAGAAAGUCGUUAUGAUGGGAAGGUAGAUGUUUGGGCUCUUGGUGUGUCUGCAAUAGAGAUGGCAGAGGGCAUGCCACCGAGAUCCACUGUGCAUCCAAUGAGAGUGAUCUUCAUGAUAUCUAGUGAACCUGCACCGAUGCUGGAGGAUAAGGAGAAGUGGUCUCUUCUCUUUCAUGAUUUUAUUGCCAAGUGCCUAACAAAGGAUGCAAGACUCCGGCCUCCUGCAAUUGAGAUGCUGAAGCACAAAUUUAUUGAGAAGUGCAACACUGGAGCUUCAAAAAUGUUGGCAAAGAUCAAGGAAGCAAAAAUCAUCAGAGAAACAGCUGCACAAAACCAGCUGCCUGACUCUGACGAUGCAAUGGAUGCAACUGUUCGAAUUAAUGAAGAUUAUGGAGAAACUGUUCCGACAAACUCUCAGUCAACUCAUGAAACAAAAAAUGAUGGUUCGGGAGGCGAUUUUGGCACAAUGAUAGUCCAUCCUGAAGAUGGCGAUGAAGCGGCCGAAUCAUCUAUUUUCCCAAGAACAGAGUUCAUACCGGGCCUUGGUAGCAUCAACUCUUUCACACAUGAUCCAAAGAGGGCUGAGCUUAUUUCAAAAUUUUGGGCGGAGAGCACAGCUGAUAGUGAUGCCAGUAAAGAGCGGGACUUGUAUGGACUUCCCGACAUCCAAGAACCCAAAACAAUGCCACGUUCAACUGGAACAGUUAAGCAGCACAAGGGCGCAGAAGGGACUGUGCUGCGCCAUGAUAUCACUGCAUCACCGGGUGUUGCUAGCACAAUGAACAAAUUAAGCAGCAGCCCAAGCCGUAAAGCAUUUUCGGUUCAGGAUAAGCUCUGGUCAAUCUAUGCCGCCGGAAACACAGUGCCUAUUCCAUUUCUGAAGGCGAUUGACAUUUCACCGCUAGCUCUAGUAUCGGAUAGCGUAGCGGGCAAUGGCCCUGCUGGUUCAAGCACAACUGAUGCCUUGGAGGCAGUCAGGGAGCUUUUCAGUGGCGAUGGGCAGGCAAAGAAAGGGCGCAAAGGGCAAAAUGAGGCCCCUCUUCCUCCUGGUGUGCACGACAGGUUGACGACAAGCCCUACAUUGAUGAACCUGGCCCAGGCUCUCGCUUACCAUAAGACGUGCUACGAGGACAUGCCUCUUCAAGAUUCACAAGCGACAGAAGAGCAGCAGACGAUACAGAACCUUUGUGAUACGCUUCGGACCAUACUGAGGUUGUAG
rnacentral:rRNA from 1 species